rnacentral:SRP_RNA from 1 species
CGAGCAGCAUGAGCGUGAACAGCGCGCCCUCGCGGAGCAGCAGCGUGUUGCAGAGGCGGAGCGACUGUU